UCUUUUUAGGGCCGCACCUGCAGGGGUCCAAUUGGAGCUGUUGCUGCCAGCCUACUCCAGAGCCACAGCAACACCUGAUCCGAGCCAUGUCUGCAACCUACACCACAGCUCACCGCAACACCGGACCCUUAACCCACUGAGCGAACCUGGGGAUCGAACCUCAUGGUUGCUAGUCGGAUUCAUUUCUGCUGCGCCAAGACGGGAAAUCCAAUAUAUAUUGAUUUUAAACAAACAAAAAAAAAAUAAAAAUAUUUACCACACAGUCCCACUCCUGGGCAUAUACGUGGAGAAAACUCUAAUUCGAAAAGAUACAUGCAGGAGCUCCUGUUGUGGCUCAGUGGGUUAAGAACCUGACACAGUGUCUGUGAGGAUGCUGGUUCCAUUCCUGGCCUUCCUCCCUGUGUUUCAGCAAGCUGUAGGAUAGGUCACAGAUGCAGCUCAAAUCACAGUGUUACUGUGGCUGUGGUGUAGGCUACAACUACAGCUCUUUUUCCACCCCUAGCCCUGGAACUUCCAUAUGCUGCAGGUGAAGCUGUAAAAAGAAAAAAAGAAGAGUUCAUCCAUGAGCUCAGAUUUCCCACAUUACAACUUCAGGAUGCCUAAUAUUGGAUUCCAGAAUCUACCACUCAACAUAUAUAUUGUGGUUUUUGGCACUGCUAUAUUUGUCUUCAUCCUUAGUUUACUCUUCUGUUGCUACUUGAUUAGGCUAAGACAUCAAGCACACAAAGAAUUUUAUGCCUACAAACAGGUUAUAUUAAAAGAGAAAGUAAAAGAACUGAAUUUACAUGAGCUCUGUGCAGUGUGUCUAGAAGACUUCAAGCCUCGAGAUGAGUUGGGGAUAUGUCCAUGUAAGCAUGCCUUCCACAGAAAGUGCCUUAUUAAGUGGCUGGAGGUUCGCAAAGUAUGUCCACUGUGCAACAUGCCAGUACUUCAGCUGGCCCAGUUGCACAGUAAGGAGGACCGUGGACCCCCACAGGGGCCCCUCCCUGGGGCAGAGAACAUUGUAUAGCUCACCACAAGAAUCAAACUGUUGCAGGAUCCAACAUCUGCAUGGAGCCAGGAGGAACACAAGCGGUCUCUGUGUUGGCUGCUCUGCCUGGGGCAUCAGCUGCCACUUCCUUUUUCUCAUAAAGAACUCUUGGGCUAGCUAAUCUGGGGACCCAGACUUGUGGGUCUGGGACAACCAAAGUACUCUGACACUACCCCAUGCCAAGAGAAGAGGAGUGGAUGAGCCUGCUGGUUUGGUUCUAGAAACUUCAUGAGGGUCUCUUGCUAACUCCAUACACUCUGUCUCCCAGACAUUGAUCUCCAUGUCAAGGUGAAUCUUUAUCAACCAGAAGGGAAGAUAAUCACAAGUGUUAGAGAAGGAAACUGAGGGAAAGUCUUUAAAGCCACCCCCACCCUGGGACAGAUGAGCUUCUAUGCAGACCGUGCAUGCCUUUGCAGCAGCAGACUCUCCCGGCAGCCCCUGAGCCAAGGGAAAACAGCGGUUACCUCAGCCCAAGAACAACUGGGUGCAGUGCCGGAGGCAGUGCCAACAAGGCUUUUCACGUUAUGUUCCUUUGAUAAGGCCAUCUUGGAACCCAAGGGCUUUGGUUACAACAGAACAGCAGUACCCCUCGCCGCCAGUUCUCCCUCGAGGUCACAACACUUGCUUAUCAGAUCAUCUAAGCUAAAAACAUUAGAUGUGCUUGGAAAGGUCUGGUCAGAAGCCAUUUCCUCUUAUUCCCCCUCCUACUCACCAAUGAGGCACAGCCAAGUGCCAUUAAGAGCCCCAGCAGGGGGUGGUUCUCUGAGUCCCUGCUGUCCCCGUGUGACCCAAACGCCUCGGGGUGCUGCCCACAUCCCCACACAUGCAGUAUGGCUCCAGCGUAGCUGCUGGUCUUGGCCCACUGCCUCUGUGGGGAGCUGCUCUGAGCCCCUCACAUGGCUCCAAAGAGGAGCAUCUUUCUGACAAUGACCAGUCCUCCAGGUCCUGCCAGGCUGAGGGGAGGAUGCGGCCCCCCUUGCCUCUCCCCAUCCUUCCCUCUUCUCCUCCCUCUCUAGUCCUGUCUCUAUUUCUACUCAGCAAAAUGCCUGUGGUUGACUUUUUAACAAUUUAAAGUAUCCCAAAUAAGAUCCCUAUGUCAUUCUGAAGCCAGGGAUCCACUUGAAAUUGUAAAUCUUUUCAGGAAGCUCCUGCAGGGCUAUUCGCCAUCAGUGCGUGCCUCAGUGUUCAGACUUGUGAUAAUUGAAAGUGUCUUUAUAGGAGAAAAAUGCAUGCUGCUCUUUGGCUCUUUCUGUCCAGUUUUCCUAGAAUUGACUCAAGAGUCCAGUAGGAUUUGUGACUGUUGUAUAAGUUAGCUCUGUGAAGCAGCUUUGGGUCAGAUAUAAAGUUCUUUUCCACAGCCCUGCUCACCACCUCCUUCCAUCAUAGGGAUGGAAUCCUCAUCGCCAGCUCUGCCUCUGCUCCAAACGCAGGUGUGAGUAGGGGAGUUUCACACUGGAAAUAGAGCCUGCAUGAUAUGGAGAGAGGGUGGAGGAGGCUUUGCUACUCUGUUCAUGGCAUGUCUCCAGAAAUUUUUUUGGAAUCCAGCCUCUACCGUCUUAGAAUGGGAGAGGGAACCUGUCCUUGGCUCAGGUGGCUGGGCUCAGUUGAGGAGGAAAAUUCCCAUUAGCCUAGAAAAUUGCUGGUCAGAAUCCAGUUUGGAAAAUUACAAAUCCAGUUGGUCAGAAUUGGCUGUACCCUUAUGUGUAACCUAUUCGUGGUAUGCCAACUGGACUGCUUCUUUAAACAGGGCAAGAGAAGUGUGGAAUAUUUUUAUAUGAAAGCCUUAGCCUGUUUGGCACCCAUGAAAAGAACUAUUUGUACACUCCUACUUUCACCCUCUGUUUCUGCAUUCUCUGUUUGUAGCACAAUAGAGUUGAAUGCUGCAAAGCA
rnacentral:lncRNA from 1 species